UUAUAGCUUGCUAUAAAGAAUAGUUAGUGGCAGACGGGUGAGUAAUGCAUAGGAAUCUACCUAGUAGUAUGGGAUAGCCACUAGAAAUGGUGGGUAAUACUGUAUAAUCCCUGCGGGGGAAAGAUUUAUCGCUAUUAGAUGAGCCUAUGUUAGAUUAGCUAGUUGGUAGGGUAAAGGCCUACCAAGGCGAUGAUCUAUAGCUGGUCUGAGAGGAUGAUCAGCCACACUGGAACUGAGAUACGGUCCAGACUCCUACGGGAGGCAGCAGUGGGGAAUAUUGGACAAUGGGCGCAAGCCUGAUCCAGCUAUGCCGCGUGAGUGAGGAAGGCCUUAGGGUUGUAAAACUCUUUCAGUAGGGAAGAUAAUGACGGUACCUACAGAAGAAGUCCCGGCAAACUCCGUGCCAGCAGCCGCGGUAAUACGGAGGGGGCAAGCGUUGUUCGGAAUUAUUGGGCGUAA
rnacentral:rRNA from 1 species